rnacentral:rRNA from 1 species
AGAGUUUGAUCCUGGCUCAGGAUGAACGCUAGCUACAGGCUUAACACAUGCAAGUCGAGGGGCAGCAUUUUAGUUUGCUUGCAAACUGAAGAUGGCGACCGGCGCACGGGUGAGUAACACGUAUCCAACCUGCCGAUAACUCCGGAAUAGCCUUUCGAAAGAAAGAUUAAUACCGGAUAGUAUACGAAUAUCGCAUGAUAUUUUUAUUAAAGAAUUUCGGUUAUCGAUGGGGAUGCGUUCCAUUAGUUUGUUGGCGGGGUAACGGCCCACCAAGACUACGAUGGAUAGGGGUUCUGAGAGGAAGGUCCCCCACAUUGGAACUGAGACACGGUCCAAACUCCUACGGGAGGCAGCAGUGAGGAAUAUUGGUCAAUGGACGAGAGUCUGAACCAGCCAAGUAGCGUGAAGGAUGACUGCCCUAUGGGUUGUAAACUUCUUUUAUAUGGGAAUAAAGUUUUCCACGUGUGGAAUUUUGUAUGUACCAUAUGAAUAAGGAUCGGCUAACUCCGUGCCAGCAGCCGCGGUAAUACGGAGGAUCCGAGCGUUAUCCGGAUUUAUUGGGUUUAAAGGGAGCGUAGGUGGAUUGUUAAGUCAGUUGUGAAAGUUUGCGGCUCAACCGUAAAAUUGCAGUUGAAACUGGCAGUCUUGAGUACAGUAGAGGUGGGCGGAAUUCGUGGUGUAGCGGUGAAAUGCUUAGAUAUCACGAAGAACUCCGAUUGCGAAGGCAGCUUGCUGGACUGUAACUGACGCUGAUGCUCGAAAGUGUGGGUAUCAAACAGGAUUAGAUACCCUGGUAGUCCACACAGUAAACGAUGAAUACUCGCUGUUUGCGAUAUACAGUAAGCGGCCAAGCGAAAGCGUUAAGUAUUCCACCUGGGGAGUACGCCGGCAACGGUGAAACU